AAUCGGUAGGGUUAUUUCUCGUAGUAGAUUUAGAGUGUGUAGCACGUAGAAUAAACAUGUCCCAACAAGAAAUUUUAAUUAUCCAUCUCAGUAGGUAGCAGCGAGUGGCUCGACCUAUCACAAGGAAAGUUAAUUUUCCGGGCAUGGCAGGAGAACAACCAAUGUUGCGUGAGGCUAGGCGCUGACGUCAUCUUUGCGGGCCUCAUGCCAUGCGUUGCCUCGACGUGGAUUUGAAACGACGCUCGUCAAUCCCGCUGCGAGCAAGUAAUUUAGUCUUGGCCACCUUAAAGGCCGCAGACUGGUUUUUCUAUCCUGACGAAUUUUACAACAAUCCCGCCCGGUCAUUACCCCAGGAUCGACCGUCCCCCUUCCUAAUUACCGGUUUCUGACGUCUUUAUUCGUUUAUUGCACGUGGCUUUGGCUGUAUAAAAUCUCAUCAAGCAAGCGCCCAGGACUAAUCAUUCGUCCGAAUGGCAGACACACUCCAGGGAACGAAGGGAAGCAACAGGAAGUAAUAAUACUCCUAGAGAAUGGAUUCGGGAAGGAGAAAAAAAGGCAAGAGUGCAGAUAAUCCCCGUGCUAGCCGGUAGCCUAGACCGAUCGGAUUUUUUUUAAAUAGGCUGGAUUAACGUCACGGCAUUCUGUCAAACCUGAGGGAUUAACCACCCGAUCCAGCGAUUAGCGACUACUUUACGCGAUGUCUAAAACGUCCAAAACACGGAUUUCGACUUGUAGAUUAGACUGUUUGGAGCCACCGGACGAAAUUACUUCCUCCAGGUUUCCGCGAUCCGGCUCACUUAUCCCAUUUUUCUCAAUCCGUUUGUUAUUUGGAUGCACACGUUACGCCCAAGUCGUUGCAACUUGAAAGAAAAAGUAUCCCUGGUAACAAGGCAAUUCGCUUUAAAUCACAACGUAAUGUAGUUUAGUAAAUCUACUUAUUACAGUUUAAAACUAAAUCUUCUGCUAAGUCUGGUAUUGUCAAAAAUCUUCUCUGGCGCAUUUGAAAUCCCGAGAAUAACAUUGAUAUGGUGGUGUAUGUCGUCGUUAUGAAAUAAUAAAACUUUUUAUAAUGAUGUAUCAGUAUGUACUGUACUUCUUUUUUAAAUUUUAUUUUCUCAUAAAAAUCUGAACUUGCAUGAAUUUUUAUAUAUCUUAUUCUUGAGAAUACAAUCGAGAAGGGUUUUAAAAAAAUAUGGAAGACCAGUGGCGUAACUAAGAUUUUUCUGUGAAGUACCAG